GAUGAACGCUGGCGGCGUGCCUAAUACAUGCAAGUCGAACGCAUUGUGGUUGAAAUGAUAUGAAGAACUUGUUCAGAUUUGAUUUUCAACAUUGCAAUGAGUGGCAAACGGGUGAGUAACACGUGGGAAACCUACCUCUUAGCAGGGGAUAACAUUUGGAACAAAUGCUAAUACCGUAUAAUAUUAAACCGCAUGGUUUUAGUUUAAAAGAUGGUCUUGCUAUCACUAAGAGAUGGUCCCGCGGUGUAUUAGUUAGUUGGUGAGGUAAUGACUCACCAAGACAAUGAUACAUAGCCGAGUUGAGAGACUGACCGGCCACAAUGGGACUGAGACACGGCCCAUACUCCUACGGGAGGCAGCAGUAGGGAAUCUUACCACAAUGGACGAAAGUACUGAUGGAGCAACGCCGCGUGUGU
rnacentral:rRNA from 1 species